GCGUUGGUGGUUCAGUCGUAGAAUUCUCGCCUGCCACGCGGGAGACCGGGGUUCGAUUCCCCGCCAACGCA
rnacentral:tRNA from 1 species